CACCACAAGCGGCUGAAGCUGCCAGCAUGAUCUGAUCUCUUAAAUUUCGGCCUCUUUAAUUCGGUUUAGCAUCGAAAGAGGGAAAAAAAGAAGAAGAAAGAAUCACUUCUUCUCUUUUGUGCAUGUUGUCUUUGUGUAAGUCUUAGAUGGGAUCUGAGUCAGAUCAUGCGGCAGUUUCAUCUGCUGAUGGG
rnacentral:pre_miRNA from 1 species